rnacentral:lncRNA from 1 species
GAGCAAGCUCCCCCUUCCUAUUUUUGCUUGUCUCUGAUGGAAACUGUAUUAAGAUUUUAGGAACCUGGACCUUUGAGAACAUGACACUAACAGGUGGUGAUCACAGAGGAAAGGUACAAAGGUCUUGAAGCUUGCUUAGAGCUUUGUUACGUGGUGGCACACAAAUCACAACUUGUUGUACCAUCACUGGCAAACCUCAUCACCGAUGGGUGUGAGUGUAAUAACUGUGUGAGUGCUAACGUGUGUGCACACAUUCGUGUACCUGUGUACAUGUGAUUGUAGAUGUACCUGUUGUGCAUAACUCUGUUUAAAAAAAAAAUUGCUUCACAUUUGGUGUGCAACUUUGAAGUAGUGUAGUAUUUACCUGAAGUUUUCUGCCACUCGGUUCUGAUGUCUUUGAACGUGUACUUCAAUCGUCAAGCAGGCUUCUAGUACAUGUGUUGCUACACUAACUUUUCUGAAAAACCGAGUUGACUUCUAUUAUUCUUCCUUGCCUGUCAACCAAGGGGUUGGGGUGGGGGCUCUUUUCUUGUUUGUUCCCUUGUGAGUGGUGCUGAGGAGAGGAUGUGGCUGCAGUACCAAUC